rnacentral:rRNA from 1 species
GACGAACGCUGGCGGCGUGCUUAACACAUGCAAGUCGAACGGAAAGGCCCUGCUUUUUUGGGGUGCUCGAGUGGCGAACGGGUGAGUAACACGUGAGUAACCUGCCCUUGACUUUGGGAUAACUUCAGGAAACUGGGGCUAAUACCGGAUAGGAGCUCCUGCUGCAUGGUGGGGGUUGGAAAGUUUCGGCGGUUGGGGAUGGACUGGCGGCUUAUCAGCUUGUUGGUGGGGUAGUGGGUUACCAAGGCUUUGACGGGUAGCCGGCCUGAGAGGGUGACCGGCCACAUUGGAACUGGGCUGCGGCCCGGCCUCCUACGGGAGGCAGCGGUGGGGAAGAGUGCACAAUAGGCGGAGGCCUGAUGCAGCAACGCCGCGUGGGGGAUGACGUCAUUCGGGUUGUAAACCGCUUUCGCCUGUGACGAAGCGUUAGUGACGGUAAUGGGUAAAGAAGCACCGGCUAACUACGUG